GAGGACUUAGCUUAAUUAAAGUGUUUGUUUUGCAUACAUAUGAUGCAGGUCUUAGGUCUGCAGUCCUUA
rnacentral:tRNA from 1 species